AUGGAGAUCGCAAAAUCCAUCAAAGGCCCCUCUGUCUUUCCCUUGGUUUUAUGCUGUAAUGAUAAACCCACUGUGACAUUGGGCUGCCUGGCAACUGACUUCAUCCCAGAGCCAGUGACCAUUGACUGGGACACUGGUUCCCUGAAUAGCAGUACUGUGUCCUUCCCUGCCACCUUCCGUGAGACCUCCAAAUCCAACAUCGCUGUGGGUCUCGUGACUGUGUCUGGUGAGUGGUCCAAACAGAAGUUCACCUGCAGCGUGAAGCAUGAACUGUCCAACAGUAACAUCAAGAAGACCAUUACAGCCCCAACCCUCUCACUUUCACCCUGUUCCACCUCUCCCACUGUGAAGAUCUACCAUGCAGCCUGUGAUCACCGUGGCUAUUCCCAGGCCACCAUCCAUCUGCUUUGCCUCAUUACCAACUUUGCCCCGGGGAAUGUUGAAGUCACCUGGCUAGUAAAUGGAGAGAAAGAUCAAAACCUCAACUCAAUCACAGCCCCACUCAAGCAGGAUGGCAAGUUGGCCUCCACCUACAGUAAGCUCAUAAUUACCAAGGACCAGUGGAUACCAGAAAAGAACUACACCUGCGAGGUCACCUCCCACGGCAGGUCCUAUAAAUCCACUACCCAGAUGUGCUUAGAUCCUGAAUCCAGAGGAGUGAGUGUCUAUCUCAGCCCUCCCAGCCCCACUGACCUUUACAUAAAAAAUUCACCUAGGCUCACCUGCCUAGUGGUCGACUUGGCCAGUGAGAAGGGGGUGAGUGUAAAUUGGUCAUGGAGCAAGAAUUUUGUGAAUGACAACAAGUUCAAUGUCAGGAGGCAAAUGAAUGCAACAGUCACCAUCACAUCUACCCUGCCAGUGGACGCCAAGGACUGGAUCCAGGGCGAGACUUACCAUUGUGUGGUGUCCCACCCACAUCUGCCCAGGGAAAUCGAGCAAUCUAUCUCUAAGCCCCAGGGCAAGCGUUUGACCCCUGAUAUCUACGUGUUCUCACCACCUGAAGAUAAGCAGGGAGAUAGGUUCAUCCUUACCUGUCUAGCCCAGAACUUCUUCCCCUCCGACAUCACAGUGCAGUGGCUGAGCAACCAGAAUCUCAUAGAGUCAGAACGGAUCCACACCACUGGGCCCUAUCCGACCAGCAACUCUAGAAAAACAUUCUUCACUGUUAGUGUCCUGGAGGUCCAGAAGUCUGAGUGGGAGAAGAACAGGUUCAUCUGCCGUGUAGUCCAUGAGGCACUGUCCAAUGGGAGGAUUAAGGAUGUAAUGGUGUCAAAAAACUCCGAGGUAGACCUUCAGGACCUGUGUGUGGAGGAGACUGAGAGCAAGGAAUUAGAGGAGCUUUGGACCAGUACCUGCAUCUUCAUCACUCUCUUCCUGCUCAGUGUGAGCUAUAGUGCCAUGAUCACAGUCUUCAAGGUACAAUGGGUCUUCUCAGCCAUGUUGCAGAGGAAGCUCCAGAAUUCACAUGAUUAUAAUAACGUCAUGUAG